rfam:Trichuris trichiura, WGS project CBXK01000000 data, contig: TTRE_368
AUAAGAGUCAUACAAAAGAGAAGUAACAUAAAUGAGCCUUUUCAGAGAGCUGAUGGUGCUGUGAAUCAGUAGGGAUAAAUUAUGUGAAUGGACUUUUGGACGAAGCUUUGAAAUCUUAGUAGGAGCUUCCGGGAACUCCCGAUAUAGAGUAAAGUCGUUGUUGGACGACUGAUAGAGAAAUGCCUUGUUUGGCAUACCAUUGAGGUGGCACCGUGGAUUACCGCCCUCAAA